UACGUAGGGUGCAGGCGUUAAUCGGAAUUACUGGGCGUAAAGCGUGCGCAGGCGGUUUCUUAAGUCAGAUGUGAAAACCCCGGGCUUAACCUGGGAACUGCGUUUGAAACUGGGAGACUUGAGUGUGGCAGAGGGGGGUGGAAUUCCACGUGUAGCAGUGAAAUGCGCAGAUAUCAGGAAGAACACCCGUGGCGAAGGCGGCUCUCUGGGACGGUACUGACGCUGAGACGCGAAAGCGUGGGGAGCGAACAGG
rnacentral:rRNA from 1 species